CCACCACCAGAACCCUGGCACUCAGGAAAGCUCAGAUCGGGAUAGACAAAUAUCACUCGCUGCUCAUCACAUGCCAACCAUGUGCCAGGCCCUAUCCUGCAGCCCGAGACAUGGAUCAACAGAAGUGAGUUUAUAUGGAGCUCCGUGGACAGACAAGAAGAGAAGCAAAUAAAUGUCUAACUUCACAUAAUGAAGAGCUAUGAGGAAGCCAAGGCAAUGACCCCAGGAAUCCAGAAGAUGAGGUACUGGUCUAUUACAAGAGAUGAUUUACAUGGCACAGGACAUUGUUGGUGGCACCAAAAGACAAGAUAAAGCACAGAAGAGAAAGGGCCACUUGAAAAGGGAAGCCUCCUCUGUGAUGAGCAGUGUUUCUGUUUUACGCUUUACAAUGAAGGUUCCACUAAUGUGGUCUGCUCAGCGUCAUUCCUCUCUACACAGUCUGUGAUGCUGUCCUCACCAAAAUACUGGUUAUUGAUCCCUUUAUUUCUGAGAGUGUAGACAUUUGCCCUGGAUUGAUUAAAAUUGCUGUGAUUAUAGGAUAGACAGAAUAUAAUGUUUGAUGAAAGUAACAGGAUAUUCUUCAAAUACCAGAAUUCUCUGAAAUAAAAUUUCUUAUAUAUGAUCAUAAACAUGUAAACA